rnacentral:rRNA from 1 species
AGAGUUUGAUCAUGGCUCAGAAUCAACGCUGGCGGCGUGCCUAACACAUGCAAGUCGAACGAGAAAGUGGAGCAAUCCAUGAGUACAGUGGCGAACGGGUGAGUAACACGUGACUAACCUGCCUUCGAGUGGGGGAUAACCUCGGGAAACCGGGGCUAAUACCGCAUAACAUCCUCAGGGUGCAAUUCCCAGGGGACCAAAGGGGUAAGACGCUUGAAGAGGGGGUCGCGGCUGAUUAGCUAGUUGGUGAGGUAAUGGCUCACCAAGGCGAAGAUCGGUAGCCGGCCUGAGAGGGCGCACGGCCACACUGGAACUGAAACACGGUCCAGACUCCUACGGGAGGCAGCAGUGGGGAAUUUUGCGCAAUGGGGGAAACCCUGACGCAGCAACGCCGCGUGGAGGAUGAAGCCCCUUGGGGCGUAAACUCCUUUCGAUCGGGACGAUUAUGACGGUACCGGAUGAAGAAGCACCGGCUAACUCUGUGCCAGCCGCCGCGGUAAUAC